CCGUGCUGGUGAUCUGGGGCAGAGGAGGGGGGUCGGCUGGCGGAUUGGAUGGAAUCGAGCUGUAUCCAGUCUGCCAUGGCUCUCGGGCUCUCCUCCAAGAAAGCCUCUUCCAGGAACAUCGCCGUGGAGAGGAAGAAUCUCAUCACGGUCUGCAGAUUUUCCGUGAAGACCCUGCUGGAGAAAUACACCACGGAACCCAUUGAUGAUUCAUCAGAGGAGUUCAUCAACUUUGCUGCCAUUCUAGAGCAGAUCCUGAGUCACCGUUUCAAAGGUCCCGUCAGUUGGUUCAGCUCCGAUGGGCAGCGCGGCUUCUGGGAUUACAUCCGCCUGGCCUGCAGCAAGGUCCCCAACAACUGCGUCAGCAGCAUCGAGAACAUGGAGAAUAUCAGCACUUCUAGGGCCAAGGGCCGGGCCUGGAUCCGCGUGGCGCUGAUGGAGAAACGUAUGUCAGAAUACAUCACCACAGCCCUGAGGGACACCAGAACCACCAGAAGGUUUUAUGACGAUGGGGCUAUCAUGCUGCGAGAGGAGUCUACUGUGCUCACUGGGAUGCUAAUCGGCCUCAGCGCCAUUGACUUCAGUUUCUGCUUGAAAGGGGAAGUAAUGGAUGGGAAAACCCCUGUGGUCAUUGACUACACCCCGUAUCUGAAGUUUACACAGAGCUACGAUUACCUGAGUGACGAGGAGGACCGGAGGAGCAUGGAGAGCAGCACGAGCGAGGAGAGCUCCCCCGAGCACCCCUACCAGCUGCUGGUCACCGACGAGGACAGCUGGUACAACAAGUGGCGUAAGAUGGAGCAGAAGUUCCGCAUCGUGUAUGCGCAGAAGGGGUACCUGGAGGAGCUGGUGCGGCUCCGGGAAUCCCAGCUGAAGGACCUGGAGGCGGAGAACAAGCGUCUACAGAUGAGGCUGGAGGAGGUGAAGGUGCAGAACCAGCUGGAGAAGAAGGAGCUGGAGGGCGUCAUCCUGGAACUGCAGGAGCAACUGACGGGCCUGAUCCCCUGUGAGAACACCCAGCUCUCCAAGGAGAUGGCCACGCCGCUGGUGAACCAGUGGCCGUCGCUGGGGACCCUCAGUGGGAACGAGAGCGGGUCAGACGCCAAGCUGUACAGGAGGACAGGAGACCCUCGCCCUGUGUGUGGUCAUCAAACCCCUAUCUGGUGGCUGAGCUGGAGCAGAGCUUUCAGAAAGAUUUCCAGGUUUGAUUUAAUGACUUCAAGCAAUGGAGAAUCCAACAUGUCCCCUGAUAAGUUGUUCCAGUGGUUAAUUAACCCCUUAAAAUUAAGUCUUCAUGAGCACGGAUCAGCUGUCGGUGGAGAUCAGCCUGAGCUCGGAUUCCCAGAGGCUGGGGGAGGGGAAGCAAGAAGGAGAGCCCUGGGGGCCAUUGGGGAAGGACCCCACCCCAUCCAUGCUGGGGCUCUGCGGCUCCCUGGCCUCCCUCCCAAGCUGCAGGUCCCUGGCCAGCCUGAAAUCUAACGAGUGCCUGGUGAGUGACAGUAACGAAGCCAGCCCCACCCACAGCCCCAGUUGAGACGCUGGGCGGCGCCACUUGUCCUGGGAUUGGCAGGCCCCACCGGGGAUCCAAGAGGCGAACCAAGGAGCCGCCACCAUCUCAAACCAACGGGACCAAAGCGACAGGCAAAUGGACCUUACUGAACUUCUUGAGGGGCUGGGGCAGCCAGCCCCACCCUGGCUGAUUCGCCGCAUUCUUACAGAUGUGGGCCCCAUUCCUACCAAGGGACGCUUAACCGAGUACUUAAUAUCCUAAGCUCGUACGGAGCCGGAAGGAUCCCGACGUGCUUUGUGAAAUGUGCUGCAGAAAAGCAGCCACCUCUGGGGUGGACCAAGGCAGCCGUUUAACUGCCGUGCUGCACAGCAGCUGAAGGACAGGGCGUGAAGAAGAAUCCUGCACCUGACUGAAAUUGCAAAAGUGGGAGGAGUUGGGGGGGGCAGGACAUAAAUCCUGCAUCUGGAGCUUUCGCUUGGCUGGAAAGGGUGAAGAGUGAGGCGGGGUGGGGCACUGUCACACGGCCAUGGCCUCCCUUGGGGCACGCCCUUGCCAGUGUCCCACCCUGGGGACUUUAUCAUUGCUCUGGAACCAGCUGAUUGGGGCCAAGAUGCCUCCUCCCAUCAGGACACUGUGUGGCCCCCUAGGCACGUGAGAAGCCCAGAGCAGGGAGCUUGGGGGCUGGGAAGGGGAAGAACUGUCAACUCGUACCUGCUUCCCUCAGCCCAGCACCACAGCCAUGGACUCUUGUGCCCUUCUGCCACGGGCCAGAUGCUUUGACAUAGUGGCUUUGCAGCCUAAGGGGCUGUCUGCCCCAUGGAGGCCUCAAGCACCUGAUAAUGAGAGAAUUCCACAGAGGCGCCCUCGAUCCCUAAGCAAGGUCCUAGCAUCUGCCGUCCUAUUACAGGUACCAUGCACACUGCAAGAGUUGCGCAUUGCUCCUCACCCCCUGGAUUUGUAGGAUUAAAGGGAGUAAUGUCCUAGGACAGGGGUCGGCAACCUUUCAGAAGUGCUGUGCCGAGUCUUCAUUUAUUCACUCUGAUUUAAGGUUUCGCGUGCCAGUCAUACAUUUUAACGUUUUUAGAAGGUCUCUUUCUAUAAGUCUAGAAUAUAGAACUAAACUAUUGUUGUAUGUAAAGUAAAUAAGGUUUUAAAAAUGUUUAAGAAGCUUCAUUUUAAAUUAAAUUAAAAUGCAGAGCCCCCUGGACCGGUGGCCAGGAUCAGGGCAGUGUGAGUGCCACUGAAAAUCAGCUCGUGUGCUGCCUUCGGCACACGUACCAUAGGUUGCCUACCCCUGUCCUAGGACCUCUGCUUAGAUGGGAGAAUACCCUAGAGAAGUGGUUCUUAACCUGGGGUGCACAAGACGUGCCAGAUUUUUUUAGAAGGUAUAUCACAGAAAACACAAAUUAAGCACCAGCACGGAAGUACAACUACUUUGUUUUGUCAAACCUAUGUAUUUAUUAACAUUACGGUAAUGUACUAACAAACAAAUA